GCAAACUUGGUCAUUUAGAGGAAGUAAAAGUCGUAACAAGGUUUCCGUAGGUGAACCUGCGGAAGGAUCAUCACUGAUUCGGGGGGAGUGUGUGUGCGUGCGCGUUUGCGCGUGCGCCGCGCCACCCCAACCAAUCUUUUGUGCACGGUUUCACGGUCAACGAGACGCCGCGCGUGUGUUGGCAAGUGUGUGUACUACUACACCACUACUACUUGCCAACCGCAUGCGUCGUGCGCGUUCUCUGCCUACUUACACAAUCUUGUGCAAUCUCUGUCUAACGCAUUACUUGAUAUUACUACACUUACACACAACUUUCAACAAUGGAUCUCUUGGCUCUCGCAUCGAUGAAGAACGCAGC
rnacentral:misc_RNA from 1 species